rnacentral:rRNA from 1 species
UACGAGGGGAGCAAGCGUUGUUCGGAUUUACUGGGCGUAAAGGGCGCGUAGGCGGCCACGACAAGUCACUUGUGAAAUCUCCGGGCUUAACCCGGAACGGUCAAGUGAUACUGUCGGGCUAGAGUACAGAAGGGGCAACUGGAAUUCCUGGUGUAGCGGUGAAAUGCGCAGAUAUCGGGAGGAACACCGGUGGCGAAGGCGGCGACCUGGGUCGAUACUGACGCUGAUGCGCGAAAGCGUGGGGAGCAAACAGG